CCGGCCGCCUGCGGCGCUCGCGAAGUUCGGAUCCGCAAGGACCGGGCCAGCGGGACGUCCGCGCGGCUGGGUGCACUUUCUCCGCGGUCGAGUGCUACGACCGGUUUCGCGGCGGUCAGAAGCCCGGCGGAAAGGUAGCGCCGCCCUUCGGGGUGUCGUGUUAUAGGCCGCCGCGGUGGACUCGCCGCGAGACCGAGGACGCUUGCCGCGCCGAGCGGUCCCGGGCCGUCUUGGGAGGUUCGACCUCGGCUGCACUGCUCCGCAGAGCACCGUAACCGCCGCCCUGGCACGGGUCCGGAGACCGCCGGCGCCUCGGGUCAGUAGCG
rnacentral:rRNA from 1 species